GGCCCCCGGUGAUUGUUUCUUCCGUUUUUUCGAGACGGCAGUCAAGUUGCGUUACUGUUAUCGAUAUAAGGACAAUUGUGCACAGUUAGAAUCUUUCCAAAAUCGAAUGGGUCCCAAACUUGAACAAGUUCCGAACUGCGACAGGUUAAAAGCACCACCGGCUGCGUCUACAUCAAACGUUAUGAUGGAUCAUUUGAGGAAAGUAUCAACAUUGGAAUAUGACGAUCCGAAUGAUCAGCUCCCGGUUGAACCAAAUUUUUUGCCGAAAUAAUCCAGGCUCUAAAUAUUCCUUCAAUCAAAGUGGUUGGAUUGAAAAGUGAUUUUAAAUAUGUCGACUUAAGAUUCCGCAUCACUGACGGAAAUAACAUGAAAGCAGCUGAUGUCAAAACGAAAGUGUCACAAUAAGCAUGGAUUGCGACGUUUAUGUAUCAAGUUUGAUCCGAAAUCGAGUCUUAACGUCCUACAUUGAAGAAAACAUGUUGGUGUGCAAUUGUUUGUUAAUUAUAAGUACCAUUAAGUUAUCGUGAAAAUUCUUUUAUUCGUUAUUAGAUGGAAUACAGUAAAAAAAAAGAUUUGUCAAAUAAACUGCAA